CGUGUAGGCGGGUCAGCACGUCGGGCGCUGAAAUCCCCCGGCUCAACCGGGGAACGGGCACCGAUACGACUGGCCUGGAGGGGAGUAGGGGGACCUGGAACUUCCGGUGGAGCGGUGAAAUGCGUUGAGAUCGGAAGGAACGCCCGUGGCGAAAGCGAGGUCCUGGGCUCUUACUGACGCUGAGACGCGAAAGCCAGGGGAGCGAACG
rnacentral:rRNA from 1 species